rnacentral:rRNA from 1 species
AUUACCCCAAUACUGAGGAAAAGGAACCAACAGGGAUUGCCUCAGUAACGGCGAGUGAAGCGGCAAAAGCUCAAAUUUGAAAUCCCCCCGGGGAGUUGUAAUUUGAAGAUUGCGUCUUGGAGGCGACCGUGUCUAUGUUCCUUGGAACAGGACGUCACAGAGGGUGAGAAUCCCGUGCGGCACGGCCCCCGGCUCCUUAUAAGGCGCUCUCGACGAGUCGAGUUGUUUGGGAAUGCAGCUCAAAGUGGGUGGUAAAUUCCAUCUAAAGCUAAAUACAGGCGAGAGACCGAUAGCGAACAAGUACAGUGAUGGAAAGAUGAAAAGCACUUUGAAAAGAGAGUGAAACAGCACGUGAAAUUGUUGAAAGGGAAGGGCAUGCCGUCAGAUUGUCAGUGUGGGUAAGAAGCGGGGUACAAAGACUGUGGAACGUGGCCCUCGGGUGUUAUAGCCGCAGUUCAUGCCCCGUCUCUUUCCGAGGCCUGCUUUGAGGACACCGACGUAAUGACGGUACGCCGCCCGUCUUGAACCCCCGGACCAAAAAAAGAA